rnacentral:rRNA from 1 species
UGAUGAUUCAUAAUAACUUUUCGAAUCGCAUGGACUUGUGCUGGCGAUGGUUCAUUCAAAUUUCUGCCCUAUCAACUUUCGAUGGUAGGAUAGUGGCCUACCAUGGUUUCAACGGGUAACGGGGAAUAAGGGUUCGAUUCCGGAGAGGGAGCCUGAGAAACGGCUACCACAUCCAAGGAAGGCAGCAGGCGCGCAAAUUACCCAAUCCCGACACGGGGAGGUAGUGACAAUAAAUAACGAUACAGGGCCCUUUCGGGUCUUGUAAUUGGAAUGAGUACAAUGUAAAUACCUUAACGAGGAACAAUUGGAGGGCAAGUCUGGUGCCAGCAGCCGCGGUAAUUCCAGCUCCAAAAGCGUAUAUGAAAGUUGUUGCAGUUAAAAAGCUCGUAGUUGAACCUUGGGCUUGGUUGGCCGGUCCAUCUUUCUGAUGCGUACUGGACCCAACCGAGCCUUUCCUUCUGGCUAGCCUUUUGGCGAACCAGGACUUUUACUUUGAAAAAAUUAGAGUGUUCAAAGCAGGCCUUUGCUCGAAUAUAUUAGCAUGGAAUAAUAGAAUAGGACGUUAUGGUUCUAUUUUGUUGGUUUCUAGGACCAUCGUAAUGAUUAAUAGGGACGGUCGGGGGUAUCAGUAUUCAGUUGUCAGAGGUGAAAUUCUUGGAUUUACUGAAGACUAACUACUGCGAAAGCAUUUACCAAGGACGUUUUCAUUAAUCAAGAACGAAAGUCAGGGGAUCGAAGAUGAUCAGAUACCGUCGUAGUCUUAACCAUAAACUAUGCCGACUAGAGAUCGGAUGUUGACCUCUUAUUGACGCAAUCGGCACCUUACGAGAAUCCAAGUCUUUGGGAUCUGGGGGGAGUAUGGUCGCAAAGCUGAAACUUAAAGGCAUUGACGGAAGGCACGACCAGGAGUGCAGCCUGCGGCUUACUUUGACUCAACACGUGUAACUCACCAGGUCC